ACCAAGAUGGUCAAAGCUGAAAAAUGAAAGGGGUCCAAAAGAAUUUCGAUUUUGUGUACUAUUUUCUUAUUUUCCAAACAGCCCUUCAAUUAAAAUACGUAGGAGUAUAAUCUUUUCACGACUACCUGUCUGCCUCCCAUAGCAUUUCUUUUUGCUUCUCUCACACUUCUCUACUCGUCCUCUCUCCCUAUCUUUGCCCCUUCUCCUCGGCUAAGCUCUUCAUCCUAUUCAAUGGAAUGGACUAAUCUCUUCAAAUCCCAAUUCAUUUCUUAAAUCUGUUGUCAAUCUUUAUUGUUUUACUGAUCUGGGUCAUCAUGAGUUCAUGCUUAGAUCAUAGUUUUUUAUAGCUUGUAUCCACUUGUUCACAGUCUUUGCUUCUCUAUUGCUGUAACCUCUGAAGCUACUGAUACAAGGGGGAAAACCCCAUCUGAUUAAUGGGUUUCCAAUAGUUUCUCGAUUGGUGUAAUCAGAUUUCUUGGAAUGGGCUUUGUCUUUGAGAUGCAAACGGCGGCUGAUUCCUACGAGUAGCUCAAAUAUGAUUCUAUAUUUCUCUUUCUGCAGAUAUCUUUCUCAGUUGUUUCAAAAGACACCUUUCUCUGACGUUUGAAAUUGAUUUAACGACGCGUUUGGAUGAUGGGUAGAGGUAGGGGAAAAGUGAAGAAGCAGGCCACUAUUGUUGCUCAUGAGGUUAAGGAAGAAAAGAUUCCGCAAUACAAAAGGAGAGGAAGGCCACAAAAGCAAGUGAAGAGUGACAUUAAGGAAGAAAAAGGCGAGAAACUAGAAGGAGAAGAAGCAAAUGGGGAGAAUAUGACAAGCAAUAUCUCUAACAAAGAAGCAAAAAAUGAGCCUGCUGUGGAGAAUGGGAGGAAAAGGAAGAGGUAUUCACAGGGUAAGGGAAAUGCAGAUUCUGUCAAAGAGGAAAAUAGCACUGGGAAAGAAACUAGCACAGAUGGUUCACUCAAGUGUGUUGGGUUCAGACAGAAUGGGAGCAGGCGAAAAAAUAAGCCUCGGAGAGCCGCUGAAGUUGGCGUGGAGUGCUAAUGAGAUUGCUUUUUCUACCUUCCAUUUGUGUUUGAUAAACCAGACCAAGUUUUUAUCGGUUCAUGUUUGUUGAAGUACAACUGACUAAUUAUAUAUUCUUUUGGUAAUAUCUAAAUGCAAUUUUCUUGCUAAUGGGCUGUUUUUAUUCAGAGCAUUAAAGUAGAUUGUGCUUCUAUGGUCGUCCAUGAAGCUACGAGCAUAUAAUAUAUCAGUUAAUUUCUUGUGUCAUGUGUUUAUUAUCAGUAAUCAGAAGCUUAUUUCUGAAGGGUGGCCCAUGGGCAAUUGUAACUUGUAAGGUUUCCCCAAUGUGACUUGGUGGUCACAGGUUCGUUUAUGGAAACAUCCUCUCCGCUUUUGUGGCUUCCCUUGAGAUGAGUUUUUGAACAUUAAAGACCAUAUUAAGUGUUCAAUUCCUUGCUCAAAGAUGUACAAGUUAUUA